CUCCCCGUAGUUCAACGGAUAGAACAAGGGACUUCUAAUCCCUAGAUCGAGGUUCGAUUCCUCGCGGGGGGA
rnacentral:tRNA from 1 species